rnacentral:snoRNA from 1 species
AAUGCAAUGAUGAUAUUGGGGAUUUCGAAAGUGGCGACAUCAAUUGCCGUGAGCUUUCAAUCCAAAAAACGACUUCUCUUUCCACUGAGCAUU